AGCUUCCCGAAAGGGAAGAUAAUUCCAGAUAGUCUCAUACUUUGAAAUAUUUAUGAGUAAAGCUUUUGCGGUUAGAGAGGGGCCUGCGUCCUAUCAGCUUGUUGGUGAGGUAAUGGCUCACCAAGGCGACAACGGGUAGCUGGUCUGAGAGGAUGUCCAGCCACACUGGCACUGAAAUACGGGCCAGACUCCUACGGGAGGCAGCAAUUAGGAAUUUUGCGCAAUGGGGGAAACCCUGACGCAGCGACGCCGCGUGAAGGAUGAAUGCCUUCGGGUUGUAAACUUCUUUUUUACAGGAACAAUAAACUGAGCGUACUGUAAGAAUAAGCACCUGCUAACUACGUGCCAGAAGCAUCGGUGAUACGUAGGGUGCGAGCAUUGUCCGGAAUUACUGGGCGUAAAGAGAUGCGUAGGCUUUUUGACAAGUUUCUCGUUAAAUACCAUGGCUUAACUGUGGGAAAGCGAGGGAAACUAUCAGAAUAGAGAUCGGUAGAGGUAGAUGGAAUUCCAAGUGGAGCAGUGAAAUGCGUUGAUAUUUGGAGGAACACCAAGGGCGAAGGCAGUCUACUGGACCGAUUCUGACGCUGAGGCUCGAAAGCGUGGGUAGCAAAACGGAUUAGAUACCCGUGUAGUCCACGCCGUAAACGAUG
rnacentral:rRNA from 1 species